rnacentral:rRNA from 1 species
UGGGGAAUUUUGGACAAUGGGGGCAACCCUGAUCCAGCCAUGCCGCGUGUGUGAAGAAGGCCUUCGGGUUGUAAAGCACUUUUAUCAGGAACGAAACACUGUCGGUUAAUACCCGGCGGGACUGACGGUACCUGAGGAAUAAGCCCCGGCUAACUACGUGCCAGCAGCCGCGGUAACACGUAGGGGGCGAGCGUUGUCCGGAUUUAUUGGGCGUAAAGAGCUCGUAGGCGGUUUGGCAAGUCAGGUGUGAAAGCUCGAGGCUCAACCUCGAGACGCCACUUGAGACUGCCAUGACUGGAGUUCGGUAGAGGAGUGCGGAAUUCCUGGUGUAGCGGUGAAAUGCGCAGAUAUCAGGAGGAACACCAACGGCGAAGGCAGCACUCUGGGCCGAUACUGACGCUGAGGAGCGAAAGCGUGGGGAGCAAA